UGGGGAAUCUUGCGCAAUGGGCGAAAGCCUGACGCAGCAACGCCGCGUGAGCGAAGAAGGCCUUCGGGUUGUAAAGCUCUGUCAGGGGGAAAGAAGGCACCUGGGUUAAUAGCCCAAGGGCUGACGGUACCUCCAAAGGAAGCCACGGCUAACUACGUGCCAGCAGCCGCGGUAAUACGUAGGUGGCGAGCGUUGUCCGGAAUCAUUGGGCGUAAAGAGCGCGUAGGUGGCUUGUCAGGUCCGAUGUGAAAACCUGAGGCUCAACUUCAGGCGUGCAUCGGGAAGCGGCUUGCUAGGGUCUGGGAGAGGAGGGUGGAAGUCCUGGUGUAGCGGUGAAAUGCGUAGAUAUCAGGAGGAACACCGGUAGCGAAGGCGGCUCUCUGGAACAGUACUGACGCUGAGGCGCGAAAGCUAGGGGAGCGAACAG
rnacentral:rRNA from 1 species